UACAGGGGGUGCAAACGUUGCUCGGAAUCACUGGGCGUAAAGCGCACGUAGGCGGCUUUCUAAGUCAGGGGUGAAAUCCUGGAGCUCAACUCCAGAACUGCCUUUGAUACUGGAGUGCUUGAGUCCGGGAGAGGUGAGUGGAACUCCGAGUGUAGAGGUGAAAUUCGUAGAUAUUCGGAAGAACACCAGUGGCGAAGGCGGCUCACUGGCCCGGUACUGACGCUGAGGUGCGAAAGCGUGGGGAGCAAACAGG
rnacentral:rRNA from 1 species